rnacentral:rRNA from 1 species
AAUCAACGCUGGCGGCGUGCCUCAGACGUGCAAGUCGAACGCGAAAGUUUCCUUCGGGAGACAAGUAGAGUGGCGCACGGGUGAGUAACACGUAGGUAAUCUACCUUCGGAUGGGGAAUAACAAUCGGAAACGGUUGCUAAUACCGCAUAAUGCAGCGGCACCUAAUGGUGACAGUUGUUAAAGCGGGGGAUCGAAAGACCUCGCGUCUGAAGAGGAGCCUGCGGCGGAUUAGCUAGUUGGUAAGGUAAUGGCUUACCAAGGCGACGAUCCGUAACCGGCCUGAGAGGGCGGUCGGUCACACUGACACUGACAUACGGGUCAGACUCCUACGGGAGGCAGCAGUCGGGAAUUUUGGGCAAUGGGCGAAAGCCUGACCCAGCAACGCCGCGUGAAGGAUGAAAUCCCUCGGGAUGUAAACUUCGCAAGAACGGGAAGAAUAAGCGAGAGUUAAUAUCUUUCGUGAUGACGGUACCGUUUGUAAGCUCCGGCUAACUCCGUGCCAGCAGCCGCAGUAA